AUCCAGCUGAUGAGUUCCAAAUAGGACGAAACGCAUGUUCUAGAU
rnacentral:hammerhead_ribozyme from 1 species